ACUGCUAGUGCACUAUGUGCAUUCCUCAUAAAACCAAGAUUUACCCUAUCUACCCGUCUACCGGUACCUUCGACUUUUAACCAAUAGAUUAAUCACGUGCCCCCGCAUCACCAUCGGCUAUGAUAUUGAAAGUGCGCUUCCACUGAUCUAGCGGGAAUCUUUUGCCUUUUUAAUCUCAAAUAGCCUGAAGACGCCGGACGGUAUGAGUACUACUACUCACGAUACCGAUAAUUCAUCCCUUCAUUGUGAAAUCUUAUCGCUCACUCCAGGAACGAACCAGAGUCCAGAAAACAAUUAUAUUAUCUCACGAUUAUCAUGGAAAUUCGAGACCAUUGUGCAGUCUUAUGGUAACCGGACAGCGCAUUUAAAUAUGCACAUGAGAACCUGUAGCAGGCAGUCAGCACCCCGCCAGACAAUUAAGCGUUAUGGGAGAGAUUCACUAACCGAAAAUCAGCAUCGCACUGCGAAAUUAUUCGCCAGUUCCUAGCAACGAAUCGUUCCUGCCCGAGUAAAAUUCAAAUUUCAAAAAAAAACCUGUCAAAAUAUACGGCGUAACGAUAACUGAUAGCCAACUGUAAGCGCCAAAUCAGAAGGCACGAUUAAAGAAGAUCCCCACUUCCGCGUUGUGACAAGUUUAGAAGUAGUCAGUAACAAUAAGAUUAUAAGCAGCAAGCUAAGCAGAUGCAUAACAAAGAAAUGCGUCUGUUCGCCUUGACUCUUACCGGGGCCCCUGGACGAGUCGUCGACCGCCAGACGACCCAGCUGGUAAUAUUCCGUAACAGGAUAAAGGGCAGGAAGACUGCGCAUCUUAUCGGGAUGUUCGAUUUUAACAUGCCUUCGCAUAGAAAACCGCUGGUUUAAUUUCAGUCCGCAGACGCGACACAAGUAACUCUCCAGAGUUUUAUCGCCCUUCGCAAGAGUUUCGAUCUGCAAAUCAGCGAUCUCGUGCUCUUGCAUAGCUGCUAAUUAAACAUCCAUUUUAAAAAUCGAAGAUCCCAAACAACCCUCCAAAACACAAACAAACUGAAUGUUAAUGUUUCAAUGCAUGGAAGACCAGAAGACGCAAUCCCCAAAAUAUUUAGCCUGCACGCUGAUGCCAAGAUUUACUAGUGUGGCAUCUGCAGAUUCGAUUUGUGAUCAAUCCAGCAACCACUACUGUGUCAAUGCAAAUGAGCAAGAGAUUAGAGUAGUGCCGCAGUCGCAUUGGCUGACACGAUGUCUGUGCAUCAAUGGGGAAGGAAAUUCGCAGUCGCUCUUACUCUUUCCUGCACACUGGAAACUGGGUAUAAACGAGUCACGACCAGGAAUUUAACGGCCACAAAGACUCCAAAAUAUAGAAUAAUAAAGCUCUAAAUCAAAGACGUAAAAGCUGAAUCACGAACUGCGAUAAAGUUAUGAUGAAGAUUUAGAAAGGAACUGGAAACACAAAAUACUUGGAAGGAGCUCGCAAGGGCCAACUAUAGAUCGCAAAUAAUGGAAAACGCAUCCACAAAAUGACAAAAAAAUAAAGAAGUCAGUUCAUUAGUAACUGCGCUGGGGGGAACGUCUGAUUUGGCAGCCAAUGCUAGGCCUUUCUCCGUGCAGUUACAUUACUCGUGGAAGAUCUCUUGAGAAUUGUUGGGCGGGGAUAUCUUGUACUUAACGACCAAUUACCACGCUAUACAUCAGUGAGCCCGCCCGCCCCGUCGGGCCGGUGCCAGUCGGGCGGGGCCGAUUAAUCAUCGGUAGAAUGCAGAAAUAAUCGAAUAAAUCGCGCAUGUAAUGCAGCAUUGCCGGCACGCACAAGAAACUUUCGCAUGUUAAUUGGCAGUGCCGA